rnacentral:rRNA from 1 species
UACAGAGGUCUCAAGCGUUGUUCGGAUUCAUUGGGCGUAAAGGGUGUGUAGGUGGCGCCGUAAGUCGGGUGUGAAAUUUCGGAGCUUAACUCCGAAACUGCAUUCGAUACUGCGGUGCUUGAGGACUGGAGAGGAGACUGGAAUUCAUGGUGUAGCAGUGAAAUGCGUAGAGAUCAUGAGGAAGACCAGUGGCGAAGGCGGGGUCUC